rnacentral:rRNA from 1 species
UUAAAUGUUAAUAAAAUUAUUUAAAAUAAUAAUUAAUAAAAAAGUUAAAGUAAAUUAAAUAGAAUUAAUAUUAAAAUUUUAUAGAAUAAUAGUAAUGUAAAUGAAAUGAUAAAAUAAAAAUAAUAUUGUAAAAAGAAAAUAUAGUGUAUUGUAUCUUGUGUAUCAGAGUUUAAUAAAAAAAAAAUAAAGAGAAAAAAAUUGUUGAUCUCGAAAAAUAAAGAUUUAAUUAAUUAAUUUAGUUGAUGUUAAAUAAUCAUUAAUAAUAAUUAAUUGGAAAUGAAAAGUUAUUCGGUUUAUUUUAUAUCUAGUUACUAAAGAAAUGAAUUAAAUUUAGGUUAAUUUAAAUAUAUAUUUUUAAAUUUUAAAUAAAUAAUUUAAUUAAUGGUAAAAAUAAAUUAACUUAUAUAAAUAGGGAUAAUCUUAUUUAUAAAUUAUUAUAUAAGUAUUAAUUUUAUUAAAUUUAGUAUGAAUUUUAUAAUUAAGUAAAAAUAAAAUUUUUAUUGUUGUUGAAGUUUUUAAUAAAUUAGUUAUUAAGAAAAUAAGAAUUUAAAAUUUAAUUUUGUUAUUAAUAAUUUAUUUAGUAAAAUUUUUUAAUUUGUUAUAAAAAGAUAAUAUUUUAAAAUUAGUAUAAUAAAUAAAAAUUUAGUAAAAAUUUGAUAUAUUAAUAUUUUUGAUGAAUUAGGCAAAAAAAAUCUUUUAAGGGGAUUAAAUUAUAUUUACCUGUUUAACAAAAACAUGUCUUUUUGAUGGAUUAUAUUAAUAAUGUAAGUUUAUUUUAUUAGAAUUAAAUUUUUUUAAAGUCGAAUCUGCCCACUGAAAAUUUUUUUAAAGGGCCGCAGUAUUUUGACUGUGCUAAGGUAGCAUAAUAAUUAGUUGUUUGAUUGAUAACUAGAAUGAAUGAUUUGAUAAAAUAUAAACUUUAUAAAAAAUAUAAGUUAGAAUUUUUUUUUCUUAUAAAAAAAUAAGAAUAAGAUAAAAAGACGAGAAGACCCUAUAGAUCUUUAUUUAUAGACUUUUUAUCAAAUUAGAGCUAAAAUCUAAAAAAUGAAUAGGUCUUAUAAAUUUAAUUGGGGAGAUUAAAAAAUUAAAUUAACUUUUAUAUUAUAAGUAUAUAUUCUCAUUCUAUAAAAUUAAUAAUUGAUCUUUAAAUUAAGAUUAAUAGAUUAAGUUACCUUAGGGAUAACAGCGUAAUUUCAAUUUUGAGAUCUUAUUGAAAUUGAAGAUUGCGACCUCGAUGUUGGAUUAAGAUUAAUUUUGAAUGAAGUAGUUUAUAAAUUUAGUCUGUUCGACUAUUAAUAUCUUACAUGAUCUGAGUUCAAACCGGUGUGAGCCAGGUUGGUUUCUAUCUUUUAUGAAAUAAAUUUGUCUAGUACGAAAGGAUUGAUAUAAUUAGAAUAAUGUUUGUAGAAUUUAA